AAGACUAUAGACCUGCGGAGUACCUGCGGAAGGAUCAUUAAAGAGAAAACUGCCCUUUGGGUAGAUUUCCCACCCUUUGUUUACUUUACCUUUGUUGCUUUGGCAGGCCCGUCUUCUGACCACCGGCUUCUAGCUGAUCCGUGCCUGCCAGAGGACCCCCAACUCUUGAUUUUAAGUUGUCCGAGUCUUAUAUAAUAGUAAAAACUUUCAACAAUGGAUCUCUAGAUCGGAAGAGCACAC
rnacentral:misc_RNA from 1 species